UACGGGGGGUGCAAGCGUUGUUCGGAUUUAUUGGGCGUAAAGCGCGUGUAGGCGGUUUGUUAAGUCUGAUGUGAAAGCCCUGGGCUCAACCCAGGAAGUGCAUUGGAUACUGGCAGACUUGAAUACGGGAGAGGGUAGUGGAAUUCCUGGUGUAGGAGUGAAAUCCGUAGAUAUCAGGAGGAACACCGGUGGCGAAGGCGGCUACCUGGACCGAUAUUGGCGCUGAGACGCGAAAGCGUGGGUAGCAAACAGG
rnacentral:rRNA from 1 species